rnacentral:rRNA from 1 species
AUAGACGAUGAGCGCUGGAAUGCCUUGUCGUUCAAAUCUCCGGAGCCUUAGGAUGGCACUGCGACCUAUCAGGUUGUAGGGAGGGUAACGGCCUCCCUAGCCUACAACGGGUACGGGCGUUGAGAGACGUCGCCCGGAGAUGAAAUCUGAGACACGAUUUCAGGCCCUACGGGGCGCAGCAGGCGCGAAAACUGCACAAUGCUGGAAACAGCGAUGCGGGGAUUCCAAGUGCCAGCACUGAGUGUUGGCUGUUCCAUUGUCUAAAAAACAUAGGAAGUAAGGGCUGGGUAAGACGGGUGCCAGCCGCCGCGGUAAUACCUGCAGCCCGAGUGGUGGCCGUUAUUAUUGGGCCUAAAACGUCCGUAGCCGGUUUCGUAGAUGCCUGUGUAAAUCGAACGGCUUAACCGUUCGAAUUGCGGGUAGACCGCGAGACUUGGGACCGGGAGAGUCACGAAGUACUCCGGGGGUAGAGGUGAAAUUCUGUAAUCCUCGGGGGACUACCGGUGGCGAAGGCGUCGUGAUAGAACGGCUCCGACGUGAGGGACGAAGGCCCUGGAGCGCAAACCGGAUUAGAUACCCAGUAGUCCAGGUGUAAACGCU